CAGUCGCCGCGGUGAUACAGAGGGUGCGAGCGUUAAUCGGAUUUACUGGGCGUAAAGCGUGCGUAGGCGGCUUCUUAAGUCGGAUGUGAAAUCCCUGAGCUUAACUUAGGAAUUGCAUUCAAUACUGGGAAGCUAGAGUAUGGGAGAGGAUGGUAGAAUUCCAGGUGUAGCGGUGAAAUGCGUAGAGAUCUGGAGGAAUACCGAUGGCGAAGGCAGCCAUCUGGCCUAAUACUGACGCUGAGGUACGAAAGCAUGGGGAGCAAACAGGAUUAGAUACCCCAGUAGUCCCUGUCUCUUAUAC
rnacentral:rRNA from 1 species